rnacentral:rRNA from 1 species
CUACGGGGUGCACCAGUGGGGAAUUUUGCGCAAUGGGGGAAACCCUGACGCAGCAAUACCGCGUGAGUGAAGAAGGCCUUUGGGUCGUAAAGCUCUUUUCUUGGGGAAGAUAGUGACGGUACCCAAGGAAUAAGCACCGGCUAACUCCGUGCCAGCAGCCGCGGUAAUACGGAGGGUGCAAGCGUUGUUCGGAUUUACUGGGCGUAAAGGGCACGUAGGCGGCACAGCAAGUUAAGGGUGAAAUCCCGGGGCUCAACUCCGGAACUGCUCUUAAAACUGCUGAGCUAGAGAUAGUCAGAGGCGGGUGGAAUUCCAGGUGUAGAGGUGAAAUUCGUAGAUAUCUGGAGGAACACCGGUGGCGAAGGCGGCCCGCUGGGGCUAUUCUGACGCUAAGGUGCGAAAGCGUGGGGAGCAAACGGGAUUAGAUACCCCGGUAGUC